UCGGGUAUGGUGUAGCGGUAACAUCGUUGACUCUCACUUCCUCAAGAAAUGAGCUCAGUCACUCAACAGCCCCGGGUUCGACUCCCGGUAUCCGAG